UGGCGGCUUUAGCGCGGUGGUCCCACCUGACCCCAUGCCGAACUCAGAAGUGAAACGCCGUAGCGCCGAUGGUAGUGUGGGGUCUCCCCAUGUG
rnacentral:rRNA from 4 species